CCUACGGGAGGCAGCAGUGGGGGAUAUUGCACAAUGGAGGAAACUCUGAUGCAGCGACGCCGCGUGAGGGAAGACGGUCUUCGGAUUGUAAACCUCUGUCUUUGGGGAAGAAAAUGACGGUACCUAAAGAGGAAGCUCCGUCUCACUACGUUCCAGCAGCCGCGGUAAUACGUAGGUAGCGAGCGUUGUCCGGAUUUACUGGGUGUAAAGGGAGCGUAGGCGGGCGAGAAAGUUGAAUGUUAAAUCUACCGGCUUAAUUGGUAGCUGCGUGUAAAUCUUCUUGCCUUGAGUGAAUUAGAGGCAGGCGGAAUUCAUGGUGUAGCGGUGAAAUGCGUAGAGAUUAGGAGGAACACCAGUGGCGAAGGCGGCCUGCUGGGCUUUAACUGACGCUGAGGCUCGAAAGCGUGGGGAGCAAACAGGAUUAGAUACCCCAGUAGUC
rnacentral:rRNA from 1 species